rnacentral:rRNA from 1 species
UACGUAGGGUGCGAGCGUUGUCCGGAAUUAUUGGGCGUAAAGAGCUUGUAGGCGGCUUGUCGCGUCUGCCGUGAAAAUUCGAGGCUCAACCUCGAACUUGCGGUGGGUAUGGGCAGACUAGAGUGUGGUAGGGGAGACUGGAAUUCCUGGUGUAGCGGUGAAAUGCGCAGAUAUCAGGAGGAACACCGAUGGCGAAGGCAGGUCUCUGGGCCACUACUGACGCUGAGAAGCGAAAGCAUGGGGAGCGAACAGG